rnacentral:lncRNA from 12 species
AUGAUUAGCAUAUUGAUGAGUCUUCUCAAGCAUUUUGUGGGUUUUAUUUUUCAAUGCCCCUCUUUCAUGUUGGUGAGUUUUUCUGGGACAAGAUCGCUCCAUCAUGCAGGAUUACACAUGGCCAGAUUCAUGGUUGAAGGUCAGGGCUGUUCUCUAUUAGUCGGCCAGGCUCCCUCAAAGUGUCUCAGUCAUGAGAAUGUGUUAGAAUCCCUUCUAUGGCCCUGCCCUCUCGAAUCUUCAUGAAUACUGAAUUCUAUCUACACUGACUCAGAUUCCUAAUAACUGACUCCAUCCAAAGGAGGAGAUCAUGCCAGGGGCCUGACAAAAUGAACAGCAUCGUGCCCAGCACCAUAUUAUUCAUCCAGGAGCAGUCCACGGCUAAUGAUAAUCCAGAAUUCUGAAAAAGAUCCAUUUCCUGAGCCCUAAAUAAGAGAUGUAUCUUGAGGGCUCUGCUCCAACCUGUCAACCAGAGAAACGCUCUGUGCCAGAGAUAUGUCCGGAAUUGUCAGGAGGCGAACAAAACCUUAGUUCUACAGUUCUAAAAUGCUAAGUAACAAAGAAUUUAGAAGCUGCCAGCUGUAACAAGGAUGAAGGAUGUUUCUAAUCUGAGCGGCCCACAGGCACACCAGCCUUUAACACAUGCCCUUACCUAGCGGAGAGGGCUUCUUUGUGCUAAGUUUACAUUAAUUUGAUUAAAAGUGACUUGACUCCAAAUGCUUGGAUCUCCUGUGAGUACUCUUGUUCAUGUCUCUGUGCGUGCUAUAUAUAAAUGUGUUGCAUACCUACAAACACACAUAAGGAGAAAAAUCCCACAUCAAUUCAGACUGCUAAUUUUAAAUGUGGUGCCACUCACACAGAUACUAGUUAGAAUUUAAUUUUGUACUAUCUGUAAUAAGGUGCGUUUGCAUAGACCUUUCGUAACAUAUACUAACAUAUAAGUAAAAGAUUAUUUUACUCAGGAAAAUAUUUUUCCCAGGUGCUCAUAAGCUCUAGCUGACAUGCAAACGAUUGAAAUGCUAAUUCAAGUCAUUUUUACAUAGUCAUUUAAGGACAUCCUGUCAAGAUCUUUACUAGGUUAUAUUAAGACCUAUUUCUUAACUGAAUAAUCAUUUACCCUUUCUUU